rnacentral:misc_RNA from 1 species
GAUGAAGAACGCAGCGAAAUGCGAUAAGUAGUGUGAAUUGCAGAAUUCAGUGAAUCAUCGAAUCUUUGAACGCACAUUGCGCCCGCCAGUAUUCUGGCGGGCAUGCCUGUUCGAGCGUCAUUUCAACCAUCAAGCCCCCGGCUUGUGUUGGGGACCUGCGGCUGCCGCAGGCCCUGAAAACCAGUGGCGGGCUCGCUAGUCACUCCGAGCGUAGUAAUACAUCUCGCUCAGGGCGUGCUGCGGGUUCCGGCCGUUAAAAGCCUUAUUUUACCCAAGGUUGACCUCGGAUCAGGUAGGAAGACCCGCUGAACUUAAGCAUAUCAAUAAGCGGAGGA